UACGGAGGGAGCUAGCGUUGUUCGGAAUUACUGGGCGUAAAGCGCACGUAGGCGGCUUUGUAAGUCAGAGGUGAAAGCCUGGAGCUCAACUCCAGAAUUGCCUUUUGAGACUGCAUCGCUUGAAUCCAGGAGAGGUGAGUGGAAUUCCGAGUGUAGAGGUGAAAUUCGUAGAUAUCCGGAAGAACACCAGUGGCGAAGGCGACUUACUGGACACAUAUUGACGCUGAGGUGCGAAAAGCGUGGGGGAGCAAACAGG
rnacentral:rRNA from 1 species